CAACAAAAAAGUAUCUUGUGGUUUUUCGAUUAAACCAUUUUUUCUGGUAGAAAACGUCGUCCGUGUUUUUAUAAAAUAAUGAUAUCGUAAAAUUGUUCGUUUUUUCCCGCUUAAGUGCUUUUAUUUAAAAAAUGGCGUCGAAAAUUUAAAAAAUGAUUUUUUUAUAGUACAAUCUAAACAAAUUGAGCUUUCGGAAAUCUAAAAUCGAACCACAGAUACUAGAUACCUUUAUAUAUUUUAGUUCCUUCGCGAUUUAAACUAUAGGUGUACUCAAUUUAGGUAUCCAUAUAGGAUUUAAUUGUACGAUAAACGAUAUGACGUAUUUAUUUAUUUAUUUUUUUGGUAAGUAUGUUCUAAAAUUAAGAGGAAAUGGUUUUUUUUCCUUUUAGCCCUUUGUACAUUCGUAGCGAUAUGAAACGUCGUGUCGAUAUUAUAUCAUCGUCAAUUGAUUUUGACCACAGAUCCCGUGUUGAAAUCGUAUCGUACUUCAGAAUUUGCUCGUGUUGAUAGUAUUAUAUCCCACAAACUGCCUCUUCUGUAUAUUUUCAGUUUUGUGUAAAAUAUUUUCAAAUAAUAGCUUAUAGUUUAGGCCUAUAGGAUUAUAGUUUGGCAGGAGCUGAAAAAUGUCAUGGUAGCGAAAUGUGGCACGUGCGUGUUUCCUGUCGUGCAGUAUAUAGUUACGAAUUUUACAAUGUAA